AAAUAAAUAACCAAAAAAUACAUUGCAGUUACCCUUUAAAGGAAACGACAGAGUCUCAUUUAUACUGCCUGACUGUGCCUGUAAGAAAUACAGUUUGGUGUGGUACCAAAAGUGGCAAGAUAUACGUGUUUUCAGCAAGAACAGAGAAUAACAGAGAUGGGCCUAAGAUUCUUGAUGCUCAUGAUGAUAAAGUCCGCUCAAUGACUUACACUGAUAAUGAUCUCGUUAUUAGU